UACGUAGGGGGCAAGCGUUGUCCGGAAUUAUUGGGCGUAAAGCGCGCGCAGGCGGUGAUUUAAGUUUGGUGUUUAAGGCCCGGGCUCAACCCCGGUUCGCACUGAAAACUGGGUCGCUGGAGUGCGGGAGAGGAAAGUGGAAUUCCACGUGUAGCGGUGAAAUGCGUAGAGAUGUGGAGGAACACCAGUGGCGAAGGCGACUUUCUGGACCGUAACUGACGCUGAGGCGCGAAAGCGUGGGGAGCAAACAGG
rnacentral:rRNA from 1 species